AGCGAACGCUGGCGGCAGGCCUAACACAUGCAAGUCGAACGAACCUUUCGGGGUUAGUGGCGGACGGGUGAGUAACACGUGGGAACGUGCCUUUAGGUUCGGAAUAACUCAGGGAAACUUGUGCUAAUACCGCAUGUGCCCUUCGGGGAAAAGAUUUAUCGCCUUUAGAGCGGCCCGCGUCUGAUUAGCUAGUUGGUGGAGGUAAUGGCUCACCAAGGCGACGAUCAGUAGCUGGUCUGAGAGGAUGAUCAGCCACAUUGGGACUGAGACACGGCCCACACUCCUACGGGAGGCAGCAGUGGGGAAUCUUGCGCAAUGGGCGAAAGCCUGACGCAGCCAUGCCGCGUGAAUGAUGAAGGUCUUAGGAUUGUAAAAUUCUUUCACCGGGGACGAUAAUGACGGUACCCGGAGAAGAAGCCCCGGCUAACUUCGUG
rnacentral:rRNA from 1 species